UACGGGGGGGGCAAGCGUUGUUCGGAAUUACUGGGCGUAAAGGGCUCGUAGGCGGCCAACUAAGUCAGACGUGAAAUCCCUCGGCUUAACCGGGGAACUGCGUCUGAUACUGGAUGGCUUGAGUUUGGGAGAGGGAUGCGGAAUUCCAGGUGUAGCGGUGAAAUGCGUAGAUAUCUGGAGGAACACCAGAGGCGAAGGCGGCGCACUUGACAGCAACUGACACUCAACUGCGAAAGCGUGGGGAGCAAACAGG
rnacentral:rRNA from 1 species